AAUUCUCUGAUUUUCUUGGUAAGCUCCUUUCGUGAAGGAUGUACUGCUAUUAUCAGAUCAAUGAAGUAGUAGCUAGCCAUGAGGGCAUCCCCUCCCUAAAGGAAAAAUACCGAUCGUGCACGCCUCGGUGCACACAACACACACACACGCGUAGACUAGUCUCGACUCCUGAGGUAGACAGACACCAAUACGAGGCGCCAGACUCACGCAGACAGUACACACAGGGCAUGCAAAAACUCGUACUAAGACACCGGAGAUUGUAAAACAAAGCAGUAGAGCAUUUACGAUUCACCAAACUAAGGGACGCACACACUACUUAGACAAAGGCAGUAGUAAAAGGAACUUGAUCCUCAAAAAAAGUAAAAAGGAAAUUGAAAACGAAGGUUCUACUGGAGCUCCACUAGGAGUUAAAAGUUUAUUGUCGCCGCCAUGCUCGGAGUGACGGCAUGGAUGGCACGAGAACGCGAUACGUGUGCACGUCGCACCGAAGACGCGCCCGCGGUCGGUCACGUGGGACGCCCGGCCGCUCACAUCUUGCCCUUGCGGUGGGCGCAGGAGGAGCCGACGCACCCUUCCACGCACUUCUCAACGCACUUGUCCACCCGCUCCGCCGCGCGCUCCUUGGCCAGCCGGUCCUUCUCCUCGAAGUACACGGACGCCGCCUUCUCCGCCGCGCGCUCCUUCACCGCGCGCUCGUCCUCGCUGCCCAGCCGGAGGCCGUGCCCUCCG
rnacentral:lncRNA from 1 species